rnacentral:rRNA from 1 species
UACGUAGGGUGCAAGCGUUGCCCGGAUUUAUUGGGCGUAAAGGGCGCGUAGGCGGCUCGGCACGUCCGUUGUGAAAUCGCCCGGCUCAACUGGGCGGGGUCAGCGGAUACGGCCGAGCUUGAGCAAGCUAGGGGGCAAUGGAAUUCCCGGUGUAGUGGUGGAAUGCGUAGAUAUCGGGAGGAACACCGGUGGCGAAGGCGGGUCUCUGGACAGUUCCUGACGCUGAGGCACGAAGGUCAGGGGAGCAAACGGG